UACGUAGGGGGCGAGCGUUGUCCGGAUUUAUUGGGCGUAAAGAGCGUGUAGGCGGUUCGGUAAGUCUGUCGUGAAAUCCUGAGGCUCAACCUCGGGCGUGCGAUGGAUACUGCCGGGCUAGAGUGCAGAAGGGGCAACUGGAAUUCUCGGUGUAGCGGUGAAAUGCGUAGAUAUCGAGAGGAACACCUGCGGCGAAGGCGGGUUGCUGGGCUGACACUGACGCUGAUGCGCGAAAGCUAGGGGAGCGAACGGG
rnacentral:rRNA from 1 species